rnacentral:rRNA from 1 species
AUUGAACGCUGGCGGCGUGCCUAAUACAUGCAAGUCGAACGGAGUGGCGCACGGGUGAGUAAUGUAUAGCUAAGAUGCCCUACACUAGAGGACAACAGAUGGAAACGGCGGCUAAUACUACAUAGUGUAGGAUGAGGCUAUAUUGUAUCAGCUAGUUGGUGAGGGAAUGACUCACCAAGGCUAUGACGCAUAACUGGUCUGCGAGGAUGCUCAGUCAACCUGGAACUGAGACACGGUCCAGACUCCUACGGGAAGCAGCAGUAGGGAAUAGUGCUCAUUGGGCGAGACCCUGGAGCAGCAACGCCUCGUGGAGGAUGACACGUUUCGGAGCGUAUACUCCUUUUGUUAGCGAAGCGGUACCUAACGAAUAAGCACCGGCUAACUCCGUGCCAGCAGCCGCGGUAAUAC